rnacentral:rRNA from 1 species
GACGAACGCUGGCGGCGUGCUUAACACAUGCAAGUCGAACGGUAAGGCCCUUCGGGGUACACGAGUGGCGAACGGGUGAGUAACACGUGGGUGAUCUGCCCUGCACUUCGGGAUAAGCCUGGGAAACUGGGUCUAAUACCGGAUAGGACUCCGGUCUGCAUGGUCGGGGGUGGAAAGCUUUUGCGGGGUGGGAUGGGCCCGCGGCCUAUCAGCUUGUGGGUGGGGUGAUGGCCUACCAAGGCGACGACGGGUAGCCGGCCUGAGAGGGGGACCGGCCACACUGGGACUGAGAUACGGCCCAGACUCCUACGGGAGGCAGCAGUGGGGAAUAUUGCACAAUGGGCGCAAGCCUGAUGCAGCGACGCCGCGUGAGGGAUGACGGCCUUCGGGUUGUAAACCUCUUUCAGCAUCGACGAAGCGAAAGUGACGGUAGGUGCAGAAGAAGGACCGGCCAACUACGUGCCAGCCGCCGCGGUAA